AAAAAAAAAAAAACCCAACGGUAACGAAAACGCGUCGCGCGGUAUUUUCUCCCGCGGCACCGCGGCUUGUGUAUCGUGGGCGUGUCACGCAACGUGUUAUCAUGCACGGGUACGUGCGCUGUGGCACGUUCGACGGCCGUUUUCGUUUUCGUUUUUUUUUUUUUUCCCCGGGCUGGAAACUUACGCGCGGAAAAGCGUAAAAGCGCCUGGCCACACCACGUGUCGUACAGAACGCGCCUGCAGUACGUACACGCUCGCGACGCACGCAGACCGCACGCGAGUCUCGGCGAACAAUGGCCCGGCGAACGGAGACCGCGCGGCGAACGUACGAUGAGUACGGUGAACGGGA